rnacentral:tRNA from 234 species
GGAGAGGUGGCAGAGUGGUCGAAUGCACCGCACUCGAAAUGCGGCAUACCUGCAAGGGUAUCGUGGGUUCAAAUCCCACCCUCUCCGCCA